rnacentral:rRNA from 1 species
UACGUAGGGUGCAAGCGUUGUCCGGAAUUAUUGGGCGUAAAGAGCUCGUAGGCGGUUCGUCACGUCGGCUGUGAAAUCCCGAGGCUCAACCUCGGGUCUGCAGUCGAUACGGGCGGACUGGAGUACUGCAGGGGAGACUGGAAUUCCUGGUGUAGCGGUGAAAUGCGCAGAUAUCAGGAGGAACACCGGUGGCGAAGGCGGAUCUCUGGGCCACUACUGACGCUGAGAAGCGAAAGCAUGGGGAGCGAACAGG